rnacentral:rRNA from 1 species
UACGUAGGGGGCAAGCGUUGUCCGGAAUCAUUGGGCGUAAAGAGCGUGUAGGCGGCUCGGUAAGUCCGUUCUGAAAGUCCAGGGCUCAACCCUGGGAUGCGGAUGGAUACUGUCGGGCUCGAGUCCGGAAGAGGCGAGUGGAAUUCCCGGUGUAGCGGGUGAAAUGCGCAGAUAUCGGGGAGGAACACCAAUGGCGAAGGCAGCUCGCUGGGACGUGACUGACGCUGAGACGGCGAAAGCGUGGGGAGCAAACAGG